UGCCCACGGUGGUCUAGAACUCCUGGUGAUCCUCCUGACUCAGCUUCUCCAGUGCUGGGAUGACAGAUGUGCACCACCACGCCCAGGAGAUUAAAACUGGUCUUUAGGAAAACUACUAGUAAAAAUGAGCUUCAACUAACAUGUUCAAGCAGCUAUGCGUUAAUUGGAAUACAUUUUAAGCUCCAGCUACACCAUGUUAACUUUGAAGAAAUACGUGCAUGCAGUGGAGAUGGUUUUCAUGACUCACCUGCCAAAAACAGACCCUACGGGAUGGUUAAAGUUGUUCACCUGCAUAUCUGAGCCUCCGUUGUAACUUCCGUUGUCACUGAAGCAGGGACCUGUGCUAGCUGAGAUCAGGAAAAUACCCAUUCUACAGACACAAACACCAAGACUGCCAGUGACAGCAUCCUAACGUGACACUCCUGCUGCACUGGACUUGAUUCUGCUUCACUCCACCGCUGCUCACUGCUGGAAUCGCCUCCCUCCCUCCCUGGUUCUCUCCAGCUCCUGGCUUCCUGUCCUCUCUGCUGCAGGCUCCUGUUUGCUGCUUACUGUUUGAAUAUCCACGGUGCACACAGGGCCUCCCAAAAACGGAAAUUUCUGCUCUUUUGGUUUUGGUUUAUUGAGACUC